rnacentral:tRNA from 1 species
GCCUCUAUAGCUCAGUGGCAGAGCACUGGUCUUGUAAACCAGGGUCGGGAGUUCAAUUCUCUCUGGAGGCA